CCCUGCUCUGAGCCUUUGCACAUGGUGUUCCCAAUGUGCAGACAUCCCCUUGGCUUCUGUCACAUUCCUUUGAUAACACUGUCUCUCUGUGACGUGUUCCUCGGCCACCUUUUAUUGACCUCCCUCCACCUCCUCUUUCACAGGUAAGUAGCUAUGCUAAUUAACGUCAGCUGAUUGUUCCAUGUCAGGGCUUCCUGCCCUUGCCCUGCCUAGAAUAAAGUCCAUAUUCCUCAUCUGGUGUCCGAGGAUUUAUCCGGGUGGCCUGGCUAUCAGGCUGAAGUCUCACAAAGCUUCAGGUCCCCUGGUUUAGAUGUCUUUGAACCUUGGGGUCUUGGGGUACCUGGAGCUCACCAUCUACUCUCUGAAAGAUUCUAUUCAAAUGUCACUUCCCCCAGGUAGCCUGCCUGGCCAUCUCUAAGAGGAGACAGGGCGAUGACCACAGAACAACAGCAGCCCCUUUCAUAUUAGGUUGUAGCUUCCAGUUAGCUGAGCUAAGCACUCCGUGAGUGGUUCAGGAGCUUCACAGCAGAGGUGGGGGAACCAAGGCCCUCUUGAUACUCCAAGACAGAUCAAGCCAACUCUCAGCUCUGUGCCCUGGGCUUACUUCCUCCUCCAGUAUAUCCUGGGCUCAGUCCUAUUUUUCUAUUGGUCACUUUUAACGUUUAUUGUGUAUGUGUGCGCGCGCGUGCAUAUGAGUGUGUCUCUUGUAUCCCAGGCUCGAUCAAAUCUGUGGCGAUCUUGACGCAGCCUAGAGUGCUAGGGUUGCAAGCAUGCACAAUCACACCUGUUGAUCACUUUAACUCACUCUUCCUUGGUGUGACAGGGAGCAAACAGAAGCAAAGCGGCUCCAUCUCCUGCUCUGGGGGAGCUCCUGGUCCCAGGGAGAAUUCCGGCAGAUGAGUCACCACGGAGACCCAGACAAGGUAAUCCCAGCUCUACCUGAUGUCUCUCGGCUCAGCCCAAGCCUCAGCUGCCUCCUCACCUCAGGCGGAGCCGGGGAAGGCACCCAGCGCGUCCUGCUUUUCUUCCCGAGUUUCUGCAGGAAUUCGAGGCCGGAGUGUUGUUGGAAUCCUCCGCUCUAGGGACUUUGAAGAGGCUGUCCUUCCGAAUCGGGACACAAGUCACAACGCAGGCUGUUCAGUCACUAACCAGAAAGGACGUCGUUAAACGCUUUGUUUUCUAGCCUAGAACAGGGAACACUUCAUCCCAUGACACCAACUGUUCUAACUGGCCAAGCGGAGGCUGUUCUUGCAAACAGAGAACGGAUGAAAACCGAGGAACCACGGAAGGGAAAACCGGUAGCUCUUUCAGAGUGACUCGCCCUGAUGGUGGAGUGUGGCAGGGUAGAAAAACAUCAGGGGUCCUUUUGUGUGUAAGGAUUAAAGGUGUGCAAACUUCA